AAGAACGAAAGUUAGGGGAUCGAAGACGAUCAGAUACCGUCGUAGUCUUAACCAUAAACGAUGCCGACCAGCGAUUAGGAGACGUUGAAUACAAAACACCGCUGUUAAUCCUUUCGGGGGUUAAUAGUUGGUGAAUGACUCCCCUAGCAGCUUGUGAGAA
rnacentral:rRNA from 1 species